GUUGGGUUCCUGGGUGUUUCCUGUCUGUGGUUGGGGUUGCUGUUUCCCUGUCCAUCCUUCAGGGGGCGCCUGGCAGCCAUCCCUGGAGGGCGUGGACCAGCUGAUAUUCAUCACCUGCACUGCAUGAUCUCAUUUGGAGGAGCAUAAGAGGAGGAGGCAGCCUACACACCAGUGCCAGAGUGUUUUGCCAGUUUUUGGUAUUACAGGCCAUCUGAAGUUCUCCAGUGAUCGAACUUUGUGAAUUUCUAGUGAUUCUUUGUUUUUUUUGUGCCUCCAUAGGAACUCUCACUACUGAAGCUGUGAACCCCUUAGUGGAAAUCCAGCGCAGAACCUCUCCUUGUGACGCCGGUGGAUUAUUGCCCACCGGAUGCCCAAGUCCCUGAAUCCCACCUUGGUGAUCGGAUCUCCACGCUCGCUGCCCUCCUCUCUCCGGCCAUAACGAAACCCGCCCAGAUCUCGUCCGCCCUCCAGAGCUGCCCCACCACCAUUAGCGAAGCAGCAACACUCAACCUCAAGUAAUCCGCCCAGGAUCCUUCAGACCUCCCCCCCCCGGUCCGUAUCAUCUCAGCUGAACUCCAACCAGAAGCAUCGAAUCCUCUCCGGACCAGUUUUUCCCCUUUUCCUCUGACUGUCAUUCCCUGCAAUAAAUAUCAUUUUACUGAU